rnacentral:lncRNA from 1 species
CAAAAGAUCGAUAAUAUAUGUAUUUUAUGGGUGAUCAAUCCAUAAAAUAAUUAAAACAAAAAUAAACAAACAACCAAAUAUGAUAAGCAAAAUUAAUUGAAAUUAAUCCAAAAUAAUGGUACUCAUGUUCUUGGCUUUAACCUCAAAAAGAGGAUUUUUAGCUACUAAUAUUCAUAAUUACAAUCCAAAUAAUUGAAUAUAUGGUAUGAAAAAUUAAAAGCUAAAUAAAAAAUAAAAUUU